rnacentral:rRNA from 1 species
UACAGAGGUCCCGAGCGUUGUUCGGAUUCACUGGGCGUAAAGGGUGCGUAGGUGGUGAGGUAAGUCGGAUGUGAAAUCUCCAGGCUCAACCUGGAAACUGCAUUGGAAACUACCUUGCUGGAGGAUUUGAGGGGGGAUUGGAAUACUUGGUGUAGCAGUGGAAUGCGUAGAUAUCAAGUGGAACACCAGUGGCGAAGGCGAAUCCCUGGAAAAUACCUGACACUGAGGCACGAAAGCUAGGGGAGCAAACAGG